UACGGGGGGGGGCGAGCGUUGUUCGGAAUCAUUGGGCGUAAAGGGUGCGUAGGUGGUGCUGUAAGUCUGACGUGAAAUCUCUGGGCUUAACCCAGAAUCCGCGCCAGGAACUGCAGUGCUGGAGUGUGGGAGAGGAGAGUGGAAUUCCCGGUGUAGCGGUGAAAUGCGUAGAUAUCGAGAGGAACACCUGCGGCGAAGGCGGGUUGCUGGGCUGACACUGACGCUGAAGCGCGAAAGCUAGGGGAGCGAACGGG
rnacentral:rRNA from 1 species